rnacentral:rRNA from 1 species
UGGGGAAUAUUGGACAAUGGGGGGAACCCUGAUCCAGCCAUGCCGCGUGUGUGAAGAAGGCCUUAUGGUUGUAAAGCACUUUAAGCGAGGAGGAGGGUACUGGUAUUAAUACUACCAGGUACUGGACGUUACUCGCAGAAUAAGCACCGGCUAACUCUGUGCCAGCAGCCGCGGUAAUACAGAGGGUGCGAGCGUUAAUCGGAUUUACUGGGCGUAAAGCGUGCGUAGGCGGCUAAUUGAGUCGGAUGUGAAAUCCCCGAGCUUAACUUGGGAAUUGCAUUCGAUACUGGUUAGCUAGAGUGUGGGAGAGGAUGGUAGAAUUCCAGGUGUAGCGGUGAAAUGCGUAGAGAUCUGGAGGACUACCGAUGGCGAAGGCGGCCAUCUGGCCUAACACUGACGCUGAGGUACGAAAGCAUGGGGAGCAAACAGG